rnacentral:lncRNA from 1 species
UUUUUAUUCCUCUUUAAUCUUGCUGUUAAAAAACUUCACAGUUGGGGCUGAAGGGAUGGCUCAGCAGUUAAGCAGCACUGGCUGUUCUUCCAGAAAACCCAGGUUCAAUUCCCAGCACCCACAUGGUAGCUCACCACUGUCUGUAACUCCAGCUCCAGGAGUUCUGACACCUUCACACAGAUACACAGCAAGCAAAACACCAACACACAUUAAAUAAAUAAAUAAAUAAGUUCACGGUUAACAAACUAUUCUCAUUCUGCUCCAAGUGAGUCAAACCCUUCCCUUUCGUCUGAUCCCACAAUACUCUUGGAAACUAUUUAGGGGUUUUUGGAUGAGGAAGCCCCACCCCCCAAUUUAACACCCAUCGAAGAUCACUGCUUUAUGUUUCCAGAUUAGUCAGUACCAUCCCUCAUUGAAGAAAUGGAGACCAUCACAGAGAACCACAACUGGACAUAAUGUAGAGAUCAAUGGAUUUGUGGGAUCCUGGCCCCAAUGGAUACAUCUAUAGCACAGCUCCUAUGUCUAUAGCUCAAGGAACAGCGUGGAAGAGGAAGUGGAAAGGCUACAAGGGCCGGAAUACCAGCAAGUCUGCUGUGAGACAGUCUUUCCUAAAAACGACUGUGUAAACAAGAUUGGAACAAUGGCAGUAUCAUUGGACAUGUUAACGUGGAAGGGGACAUUUCAAGAGUUUCUAGCCCUAGAAAGAGAAUUACAGGCAGCUAAUGACUGAUGGGAGAAGGAGAACUAACCUGUUCUGGGGAUGAGCCCCAUAUUGGUUGUCCAACCAUGACUGGCCAUGAAACCAUAUACACACAAAUAACAAAAUUAGAUUCAGCAGGUUAUAUUUAUAUGUGUUUGUGCACACACAUCCGUGUGUGUGUGUGUGUGUGUGUGUGUGUGUGUGUGUGUGUGUGUGCAACAAUAAUAUUCAAAGCAAAGGAGAAUAUCAUCCUUAGAGUUGGGGGAGUCGAUGGAGUAUCUGGCAGAAACUGUAGGGAAGAAGGGGGCAGAGCAUUAUAAUUCUAUUCUAACUGAAGCCAUUUUUAAAAGCCUUCCUGACUAGAACAGGAGGCUAUGCCCUAGUGACUCUGAUCUGUGUGUCCUGAUGAUCAGAGGAGCGGAACACUUGCUGUAUUGUCUUCCUACAUUGUUGUUUUUUCCAUACAGUUGUUGCCCAGUCAACCACUUUAAAAUUGACAGAUUUGUUUUCUGCUGUUCCAUGAGCGGCCCUGCACUGCACGCCACCCCCUCUGUCAGGUCCUGAAGUGCUGUUCAUCCGUACACGGCACGCCACCCCCUCUGUCAGAUACAAGGCUGAUGGCAUGUUGACUUCUAAUUCAGC